AAUUUUUGAGCAUCUUGAAAAUCUUGGGCGCAUGCGUCAGACAAUCGCCCUGUUUUACCGACAUUACGACGAGCUUCAGGCAUUAAACUGCGGCGCUGGCAUCGCAUAAUCGUCUGCACUGGACAGAGAUUUUCGGAAAAUUUCAUGAAAAUGAAACUACAGCGUCAAUAGUCAAAAGAGACGCUACGCUCUGUUUUAUCGACAGUGCGUGAAGCCAUUAGUUUCGAAAACUGAACAAAGAUGGCUGCGGCGCUGUAAUCGGGUCUUUUGUCUAAACCACGGAAGUGUACAAUUUGAUUUGGAGCAAAGAUACUUAUUCGGGAAUUAUUGCUUCAUGAUCUUCAGGAGGAGAGGUUUCAAUCUUCGUGUUCCUCAAAGUUCUGAACGUUCAAAUGAUAGAAAUUUAUUUGUUCCUUAACUUAAAAUUAAAAUUUUAUUACAAUAAUAUUGCAUCAUCAGAAAAAAAUCAUAAAAUUUCUAAAUAUAAAAUUUAAUUUUUGAAUUUUUACUGUAAUCAGUUUAUUUUUUGAAAAUAUUUCGCUAAAUUGAACGUUCAAAAAUAUUGUGGACCGCAUUCUUCGUAGAGGAGGCGCGAUGGCAUAGCAUCCAUCGACCAACGUGGGAUUC